rnacentral:rRNA from 1 species
AGAGUUUGAUCAUGGCUCAGGACGAACGCUGGCGGCGUGCCUAAUACAUGCAAGUCGAGCGCGGGAAGCAAGCAGAACCCCUUCGGGGGUGACGCAUGUGGAACGAGCGGCGGACGGGUGAGUAACACGUGGGCAACCUGCCUGUAAGACUGGGAUAACUCCGGGAAACCGGGGCUAAUACCGGAUAAUACGUUUUCUUGCAUAAGGAGACGUUAAAAGGCGGCGCAAGCUGUCACUUACAGAUGGGCCCGCGSCGCAUUAGCUAGUUGGUGGGGUAAAAGCCUACCAAGGCGACGAUGCGUAGCCGACCUGAGAGGGUGAUCGGCCACACUGGGACUGAGACACGGCCCAGACUCCUACGGGAGGCAGCAGUAGGGAAUCUUCCGCAAUGGACGAAAGUCUGAGGGAGCAACGCCGCGUGAGUGAAGAAGGUUUUCGGAUCGUAAAACUCUGUUGUUAGGGAAGAACAAGUGCCGUUCAAAUAGGGCGGCACCUUGACGGUACCUAACCAGAAAGCCCCGGCUAACUACGUGCCAGCAGCCGCGGUAAUACGUAGGGGGCAAGCGUUGUCCGGAAUUAUUGGGCGUAAAGCGCGCGCAGGCGGUCUUUUAAGUCUGAUGUGAAAGCCCACGGCUUAACCGUGGAGGGCCAUUGGAAACUGGAGGACUUGAGUACAGAAGAGGAGAGUGGAAUUCCACGUGUAGCGGUGAAAUGCGUAGAGAUGUGGAGGAACACCAGUGGCGAAGGCGACUCUCUGGUCUGUAACUGACGCUGAGGUGCGAAAGCGUGGGUAGCGAACAGGAUUAGAUACCCUGGUAGUCCACGCCGUAAACGAUGAGUGCUAGGUGUUAGGGGGUUUCCGCCCCUUAGUGCUGCAGUUAACGCAUUAAGCACUCCGCCUGGGGAGUACGGCCGCAAGGCUGAAACUCAAAAGAAUUGACGGGGGCCCGCACAAG